rnacentral:tRNA from 1 species
GGUUGUGGCUCAGCGAUGGAGCGCUCGCCUAGCACGGACGAGGCCCUGGGUUCGAUCCUCAGAACCA